AUAUAUUUAUGGCCUUCUGACUAAAAUCAAGUGUAUUAUCAUGUUUUCUGUUUAAUAUUUGAUAUGUCUUCUAUCUGAUGGCACUAAAUACAUUGAUUUUUGAAGUCAGAAGGUGGAAAAGAGCUUGCUCCUUCAUUUCAUGAAUUGUCCUGGUGUUGCAGUACCUGCUGGAUCAUUGCAUCAAAA
ensembl:snRNA Gm26256 predicted gene, 26256